rnacentral:rRNA from 1 species
GCAGUCGUGCGAGAAGUAUCUUCGGAUAUGAGUAGAGCGGCGGACGGGUGAGUAACGCGUAGGAAUCUACCUAGUAGAAGGGGAUAGCCCGGGGAAACCCGGAUUAAUACCGUAUACCUCCUUCGGGAGAAAGAAGGCCUCUCUUUGAAGCUUUCGCUACUAGAUGAGCCUGCGUAAGAUUAGCUUGUUGGUGAGGUAAAGGCUCACCAAGGCUACGAUCUUUAGCUGGUCUGAGAGGACGAUCAGCCACAUUGGGACUGAGACACGGCCCAGACUCCUACGGGAGGCAGCAGUGGGGAAUAUUGGACAAUGGGCGCAAGCCUGAUCCAGCCAUACCGCGUGUGUGAAGAAGGCCUUCGGGUUGUAAAGCACUUUAAGCAGGGAGAAAAAGUUAUAAGCUAAUACCUUAUGACCUUGAUGUUACCUGCAGAAUAAGCACCGGCUAAUUCCGUGCCAGCAGCCGCGGUAAUACGGAAGGUGCAAGCGUUAAUCGGAAUUACUGGGCGUAAAGCGCGCGUAGGUGGUUUGUUAAGUUGGAUGUGAAAGCCCUGGGCUCAACCUAGGAACUGCAUCCAAAACUAACUCACUAGAGUACGAUAGAGGGAGGUAGAAUUCAUAGUGUAGCGGUGGAAUGCGUAGAUAUUAUGAAGAAUACCAGUGGCGAAGGCGGCCUCCUGGAUCUGUACUGACACUGAGGUGCGAAAGCGUGGGUAGCGAACAGGAUUAGAUACCCUGGUAGUCCACGCCGUAAACGAUGACAACUAGCUGUUGGGAGACUAUGUCUUUCAGUGGCGCAGCUAACGCUUUAAGUUGUCCGCCUGGGGAGUACGGCCGCAAGGCUAAAACUCAAAUGAAUUGACGGGGACCCGCACAAGCGGUGGAGCAUGUGGUUUAAUUCGAUGCAACGCGAAAAACCUUACCUACUCUUGACAUACUUGGGAGCUCUUGUAAUGAGAGUGUGCCUUAUGGAACCAAGAUACAGGUGCUGCAUGGCUGUCGUCAGCUCGUGUCGUGAGAUGUUCCGUUAAGUCGGAUAACGAGCGCAACCCUUACCCUUAUUUGC